AUAUCUCUAGGAAGAAGCAGCAUAUAUAAUAAAAUUGGACCUUUACAGAGAAGAUGAGCAUGGCCCCUGAGCAAGGAUGACACUCAAAUUUGUGAAGCUUUCCAUAUUGUU